GACGAACGCUGGCGGCGUGCUUAACACAUGCAAGUCGAACGGAAAGGCCCUGCUUUUGUGGGGUGCUCGAGUGGCGAACGGGUGAGUAACACGUGAGUAACCUGCCCUUGACUUUGGGAUAACUUCAGGAAACUGGGGCUAAUACUGGAUAGGAGCUCCUGCUGCAUGGUGGGGGUUGGAAAGUUUCGGCGGUUGGGGAUGGACUCGCGGCUUAUCAGCUUGUUGGUGGGGUAGUGGCUUACCAAGGCUUUGACGGGUAGCCGGCCUGAGAGGGUGACCGGCCACAUUGGGACUGAGAUACGGCCCAGACUCCUACGGGAGGCAGCAGUGGGGAAUAUUGCACAAUGGGCGGAAGCCUGAUGCAGCAACGCCGCGUGCGGGAUGACGGCCUUCGGGUUGUAAACCGCUUUCGCCUGUGACGAAGCGUGAGUGACGGCAAUGGGUAAAGAAGCACCGGCUAACUACGUG
rnacentral:rRNA from 1 species